UUGAAGAGAAGUGGUGAGACUGGGCAUCCUUGUCUUGUUCCAGAUUUUACUGACUUCCCAGCACCAUUUGUUAAAGACUGUCCUUUCUACUUUGAAUGGACUUGGCAAAUUGUCAAAAAUCAUUUGGCCAUAUAGCAAGGACGAAUUCCUUUUCUUCAAGAGGGAAGACCAUCUCAUCAAAAUAGAC